rnacentral:rRNA from 1 species
UACGUAGGUGGCAAGCGUUGUUCGGAAUUAUUGGGCGUAAAGGGCGCGUAGGCGGUUUGCUAAGUCAGUUGUGAAAGCCCGGGGCUCAACCCCGGAGGGUCGGCUGAUACUGGUGGACUAGAGUACGGAAGAGGUAGCUGGAAUUCCCGGUGUAGCGGUGAAAUGCGUAGAUAUCGUGAGGAACACCAGAGGCGAAGGCGGCUACCUGGACAAUUGCUGACGCUCAGGCACGAAAGCGUGGGGAGCAAAAGGG